AAAAUAGAAAUUGGAAAGAAGAAUCCAGAAAAUAUUAAAAGAAAAAUAUAAAAUUAAGAAAUAAAUAAAAUAAAGAUUCCUUGCCAUUACAUUUUUCUUAAAUUUACAAUUUAUUAUUUGUGGGCUUCCAUCUGUUCUUCCAUCAAGAGAAAAGAAGAAGAACAGAAGCCCACAAUAAAUUGUAAAAGAAAAAUGAUAAUGAAUGCAAGGAAUCCUUCUCUCUCUCUUCUGUUGCCUUCAAAUAAAAGAAAAUGGCAACAGAAG
rnacentral:ribozyme from 11 species